GUGAUUAAAUCGAGCGUGUCUUCAUUGACCCGCUCACCCUUCUCACCAUCCACAUACACCUGUGCACUGGUUUAGCCUGAGCCGGUUUUUUCCGGUCCAGGUUAUCAUUUCAUACAAACUCUAGUCUUAUGAAUGUAAACGUUUUAAUAACAUAAUA
rnacentral:misc_RNA from 1 species